CUGGUGUGUUCAGAGCGGGUUCCUCUCAGACCAUAGGAUGCCUGUUUAUGCCACACCACACAUUAAAAUGGGGUAAAGAGUACAAAGUGGGACCAGACUCCCUACCACACUGUACCCCUGACAC